rnacentral:tRNA from 1 species
UAAAUGAAAGCCAAAAUAAGAGGCAUCUAGCUGUUAAUUAGAAGAAUGUAAUUUAAAUUACUCAUUUAA